rnacentral:lncRNA from 10 species
ACAGACCCUCUCAGAGCACAGCAGCUUUUACAUCUUCAAGAUCAUCAGCAGGAGAUCUGUCUCCUGCUGCUUCUCUCUUACCUCGAGACUGUCUUUCAAAGGACUUACUUAAUUAGAGAAAGAAGGAAGAAAGCAAGAUCACUUCUACUGGAUUUCAGACAGUAGGGAUACCUUGUGAAUAAAACAGACAAGACACCUGCCCUUUUGGAGCUUAUGCGCUACUGGGAGAAGAGAUAAGACUGAAAAAUAAAUUAAUAAAUGGGAGCACAUAUUAAGUGCUAAAGGAAAUAGAGGAAACAAUGGGUGGAAUGGUGGAAAGCAGCAGACAUAAUUGGAGUGGGUUGGAUAAGCAAAGUGAUAUUCAAAAUUUAAAUGAAGAGAGAAUCUUAGCUUUACAGCUUUGUGGGUGGAUAAAGAAAGGAACGGAUGUAGACGUGGGGCCAUUUUUGAACUCCCUUGUACAAGAAGGGGAAUGGGAAAGAGCUGCUGCUGUGGCAUUGUUCAACUUGGAUAUUCGCCGAGCAAUCCAAAUCCUGAAUGAAGGGGCAUCUUCUGAAAAAG